rnacentral:rRNA from 1 species
UGGGGAAUAUUAGUAAUGGGCGAAAGCCUGAACUAGCAACACCGCGUGUGCGAAGAAGGCCUUCGGGUUGUAAAGCACUUUUUGAGAGGAUGAGGAAGGACGGUACUCUCAGAAUAAGUCUCGGCUAACUACGUGCCAGCAGCCGCGGUAACACGUAGGAGGCAAACGUUAUCCGGAUUUACUGGGCGUAAAGCGCGUGUAGGUGGUUUGGUAAGUAGAGCGUGAAAGCUCCUGGCUCAACUGGGAGAGGUCGUUCUAAACUGCCGGACUAGAGAAUGGUAGAGGGAGGUGGAAUUCCGGGUGUAGCGGUGGAAUGCGCAGAUAUCCGGAGGAACACCAGUGGCGAAAGCGGCCUCCUGGACCACUCCUGACACUCAGGCGCGAAAGCUAGGGUAGCAAACG